GAUCAAGUCCUAAGCAUCCAGCUCCAUCGUCCGCCGAUUCCUUCCACGGCUUGAUCCCAGUUCCUUCCAACCGAACUCGCAGAUUUCCCUCCAAACGUCCAGCAUCAUCCUCUCAUUCACACGUUUCUUCCGCGUUCAUCCUCAUCCAAAUCGAUUUCCCUGUUUUCAGCCGUGAAGAGCAAAACUCCCAGCAAAUCUAAGAGUUCCAACUUCUUCCGAGUGGCAUCAAACCAUCUUCCAGAUUUGAUCUCUUCCCAGAUCUUCUUCCGGAUUCCUCCCGUCUAAGAUCGGCUUCUCCGUAUCCCUCUUCCGAACCGUAUCCAACUUCCUCCCAGCUUCCGCUAGAUCCCAGCAUCCCAAGAUCGUUCGUAUCCAGCUGAAUCUAUCCUUCUAAUAUCCCACAGAUCAGCCCUUCCUCCCAACUUCUGAAUCCAACUACUCCACGUC
rnacentral:lncRNA from 1 species